rnacentral:rRNA from 1 species
AGAGUUUGAUCCUGGCUCAGGACGAACGUUGGCGGCGCGCCUAACACAUGCAAGUCGAGCGUGAUUGCAGCUGUAGCAAUACAGUUGCAUGAAAGCGGCGGACGGGUGAGUAACACGUAGGCAAUCUACCUAUCAGUCUAGGAUAACCUGCCGAAAGGUGGGCUAAUACUGGAUAUUUUUACGGUCUCGCAUGAGACUGUAAAGAAAGAUUUAUCGCUGAUAGAUGAACCUGCGGCCUAUCAGCUAGUUGGCGGGGUAAUGGCCCACCAAGGCUAUGACGGGUAGCUGGUCUUAGAGGACGAUCAGCCACACUGGAACUGAGACACGGUCCAGACUC